rnacentral:rRNA from 1 species
CCUACGGGAGGCUGCAGUGGGGGAUAUUGCACAAUGGGGGAAACCCUGAUGCAGCGACGCCGCGUGGGCGAAGAAGUAUUUCGGUAUGGAAAGCCCUAUCAGCAGGGGAGAAGAAAUGACGGUACCUGAGUAAGAAGCACCGGCUAAAUACGUGCCAGCAGCCGCCGUAAUACGUAUGGUGCAAGCGUUAUCCGGAUUUACUGGGUGGAAAGGGAGCGAAGGCGGCACGGCAAGCCGGGUGGGAAGGCCGCCGGACCAACCGCGGGACGGUGUUGGGAACUACCGGGCUGGAGUGCCGGAGGGGUAGGCGGAAUUCCUAGUGUAGCGGUGAAAUGCGUAGAUAUUAGGAGGAACACCAGUGGCGAAGGCGGCCUACUGGACGGUGACUGACGCUGAGGCUCGAAAGCGUGGGGAGCAAACAGGAUUAGAUACCCGAGUAGUC